rnacentral:tRNA from 1 species
GGGGAUGUAGCUCAGUGGUAGAGUGCUUACUUUGCAUGUAUAAUGCCUUGGGUUCAAUUCCCAGCACCA